AUUCAUUGCUCAUUGCUUCCAAAUCCAAGGAACAGGCAUCUCGGAUCACUGCGCUGUGAGGGCAGGAGGACCCUUCUUUUGGAAAGCGGAAACAGGGCUACCCGAUCUAUCGGUGUCCUAUGGAACCACACUGCCCCCUGUGGUCAGAACCACCUGGGAUGCAGAACAGCAAGGACUGCAAACUUGGGUGCAGAGGGCUUUCCUCCACGCAACCCAGGAAGCUCCGUGAUUGGCAAACUGCUCUGUCAGGAUCCAUCGAAUCAGCAAACAUAGGUGCCUCUAGGAUGCAAACCAGGGAACAGGACUGUUAUGUGGCUUGCUGGUAGCCAAGCAAAAUGCCCCGAUCCAUCAGAUUAGAAAUGCCUCACACUUUUCUAAGUCUGGCUGCCCCGCCACAAACAAGGACUUCUGGCCCCCAGCAAUUCCCAGUCCAAACAGGAAGGAGGGCCUGGCAGUCUCCGGGGGUUGCAGUUGUGGCCUCAGCUGUCAGAAGUGAACCUAACCUUCCUGUGCCAGGACCUGGGUCAAGAUUGGAGAUGAUCCCAUAUGCACUUCUGUAUUCAGCUGUGCGGUCUUCUGACAGAGGCGGUUGGUGAGAGGCCGCUGAAUGAGACCCAGCCUCGUGUUUUGUGGGAUGAAGAGAUGCAGACAAAGUGACUCAGGUACACUGAUGCUCCCUGGAGGGCUGGGAGGUGGGCUCAGAGGAAGAGGCCGAAUCCAAACCUUUUUUAUUGAAAAGAAAUAGCUCUUGUUUGUAGCAUUUAAAAGAAUCAACCCAAACUCUGCACACACUCAUCCGUAGUGACCAUAAACAUGACAUACCAAGCAGAGGCUCAGAAAGAUGGAGCAACAGACUGAGGACAUUUUCAACAUGGUACUUGGGGAUACCUUUGGGAAAGAUGCCUUCCCCAGCAGAGGCCAGCACUGUGGAGAGAUAGGACCAGAGCCACUACUGGCACAGUUGUCAAGAUCUUUUGCUUUCUGAACUCUGGGGACCGCUGCCUUUUAGCCUGAGGGGAAUGUCUCCAAAUUUCUUGGGUUGGUAAGUCUCAGAAGCAGCCAGCCCCUUGGUCAACAGAGGGUACCUUUCCUCCAGGAAUCUGAGAAUGGAACAUGCUGAUAGUCUGUGCUGAGAUCUUAAGGCCAGCAUCCCAGAGGCCUUUCCAGAGCCCAGAACCUCAAAGCUGGGAGAGAAGAUUCUGGGGACUAUCUGCCAGGGAGGAAACCAAGGCUCCUCGGGGGUCAGCGUGUGAGUUCCCCAGGAGCAGAGACCAUGGCUUGCUCACCACUUUUGACCUGUGUCUGGUUCCUUGAUGAGGUUUUGGCCUUGGCAUCACUUUGGAGGUGGGGUUUACUCUCUUAGGCUAUGGUGAAUUUUGGUUAUAAUUUUUUGAUAAAUUAGGAACAGGCUUUAGUUGCCUGUAAACACACUGACUAAGACAGCCAGAAAGCAAGCAGGUGAGAAUCAGAAGAAGCUCGAAGGGUUUUCCCUGAUAAAAGCAUAUGCCGUGAGGCUACAGGCAGCUCAUUUCUUAAGGCCCGUGCAUAGACUGCAGGCUGGGCAGCUGCCUCUGCAGCCGACCUGGAGGGACUGUGUUGACCGACUGCAGGGCCAACCAGGAAUUGAGGAACCUGCCUGCACAGAUGGCCAGGGCCACAGCUGGCUGGACACUGGCAAAACUUAAACAAGGGCUGUUCAUUGAACUAAAUAUGACCUCAGCAUCCCUAUCUAAAGACUCCUGAAAGGCCCAAGUAAAAUCUAAAUUUUCAAAUCACUGGGCAGUUCUGAAAUCCAGUUCAGGUUCCCCUUUUGGCCAUCGGGAACAGCAAUUUCUGGCACAAAAAUCAGCCCAAGGAUUCAAAGCCCUCGAGGAGUAGAGGGGUGUGAGAAGAACCACAUGUCAACACACCGGCUCUCUCUUCACAGAGAUACACUUCUAUGCUCCAGACCUGGGGCCGUUUUUACUCUGACACCACUCUCUUAUUAGGUGUUCUGAAAGUUCACACUCCCAAAUGAACUCAUGCCUGUGUUAUUUUCCUUUGAAGGACCAGAAGGCCCCCUCAGUACCAUCUGAGGACACCGCAGUAGUGCCUAUUAAAUAACAUCCAGACAAGGCAUGGCCCUUCAACUAUCUUAUGAAAUGAGAAACCACCACACCGGCCACGAAGCCGUUCACAUACACAUGUGCAGGGUGGAUGAGGAAAGGACAGAUGAGAAACUGGGACCAUACCAGGUGAUAACUGAGAACCAAACUCCCCAAAGCUCCCAGCACUGGACGACUCCAGAAAGGGUCUCAGCACCACAGGCUCUAAGAUGGAGUGACUGCUAGAGACAGGUAAAGAAGAGCUUUUCAUUUUUCCUUAGAUCUUCCUUAAGGGCUAUUGCCUGUAUUGGCUUAUUUUUAAUGCUCAUGAAACAUGUCCCCAGGGACAUGCCAGCUGAGGUUUGGAAUUUUCUUCUAAAAGUGGUUAAGGCUUCAUUAAACCUCUCUUAUUUCUUGUCCAGCGCCCCCUCAGAGUCGAAGGCUUGUGCUUGAGGGUUCGCCAUCAGAAAGUUGAGAGUUCUUCUCAUUCAAAGUUAACUGCCCCAUCUGGUCUGUGAACUAAAGUGACCAAUGCAAACUAUGAGGGCUUGCACAGGGUGGGACGCGAACCAAUUAAUAUUUGACAAGUAAUCACCAUGUGCUUAUUUGCCAAAGGGUUUAUGAGGUCAGAAAUCUUUAGCCCACUUUUCUGAUGUGAAACCAAGGUUAAGAAACCUAACAUUUUGUAGCUAGCAGGUUAUACAGCUGGGAUCUGCACAUAGGUCCAUCUAGCCCCAGGGAACUCCUGAGUCAUUUAUAAGGGGCUCAAAUAAAACAUUGCAACAUCCAGUUAAAUCGGUAAUGAUGGGAACAAGAGUGAUGCUGCAUUCUAUCUGUGUAAAUCCUUAGGACCUAACAAAGCACUGUCAUAUGCAUUCUCCUAUUUGACCCUCAUAAGAGUCAGUGUGGAUGGCUCUAUCCCCAUUUUACAGAUGAAACCCCUGAAAAGUUUUGAGUGAUUUAUAUAAGAUUAUGCACCUAAUAAAUGGCAGAAGCAGGACUUGAACCAGGUCUCUCUUAACUCAGGAUGUUUUCCUCAGAAGUGUCCCCCAGACCCAGAAAUCACAUAUUCACAAACGAACAUGCAGCUCCUCAAUUUUUCCCUGGGUUUAUCCCAGGUAUCAAAUAAAGGUGAGGGAGGUGUGGGUCAGAGAGGGACUCAAGAGGGCCAAAAAAUGGAAAUGCACUUUAGGCCUUUCACAAUACAACAAGAAUUCUGAGAUUUCUGCCAUUUAUGAUUUGCUACAUGACUGAUGUAAACAUACUUUUAGCAAUACAGACAAUCUACAUUUUAACACUUACAAUAAAAAAAUCUCGAAAAUUGGAAACAAAAUGUCCAAAGUAUAGGGAAAUUCUGGCAUAAUCAGUUGAUGUAAUAUCAUGCAAUCAUUAAAAAUGGAACUCAUGAAGAAUGGGCCAGCUAGCUUUGCAUAGAGAAGUUAAUGAAGCCUUAUCUUCAAGGAAAAAUUACAUAUGAUAAAAUGUUAAGUGAAAAGAAAGCAGAAUGUAUCUCGCCAUGAUUACAACUGGACAAAAUUAUUUUAUAUGUAGAUAAAAACGAACAGAAAGCAAUGAUAACGUUUGCUAUAUGAAGAUGUUGGGGCUGUGUGAUUUUUUUCAUUUAAGCAUUUCUUUUAUUGUAUUUAAAAUAUUUUUAUAAUUAAAGCAAUCAGGAAAAUGUAUCUGCUCUGAGAAGGACUUGAUUGUUACCUUCCUAACAUGUUCUCUGGGCUCUGGGAAACAGCAACAGUCUCAUAGAAUUUCAGUCAUUUUACUCCCUUCUGUAGCAGACACUGGCUGAAGGCCUCCUCUGAAGCAGGCACCGAGUUAGUAACGUAUGAGAGAGGCACAGAUGAAGAUGUGGUGCCUGCAUCUAAGAGGCUCACAACCUGCUCACAGACAGACCUACAGUAGCACCAUGUGAUGGGAACCUGAGUGGUCUGGCUAGGGGCUCUCAAAGCACAGAGGAGGGAUAAACUGCCCAAACCCUGGGAGUCAGGGAGGGCUUCCCAGAUGAGUCACAAAGGACAAGUAGGGGUCUGCUGGGUUGGGCUGGCGAGGAGCAGGGCCCCAGGGCAUGAGACCAGAAGGCACACGAGGAGAAUGGCAGCGUGGUGGGGCAGCAGUGGAGGAUGCAUGGACGCACGCAGUAGAUGAGGCUGGAACGUGGACAGGGCUGGCUGAUGGAAGGCCUGGUGGGUCAUGCCAAGGAAGUGAGGCUUGUCCCCUCUGGUGACACUUACCCGCUCCAACAGGAGUAUUUUCCCACCAGCAUCAGUGACCAUUACCUGUAGCCGCCUCAUGGCCUCUGAAUCCUGGUCGGCCUUCACCUUGCAGGCCACCAGCAGCUGAGCCGUGGAAGCGGCGACCUGCUUGGCAGAUGAGAUGAGCUUCUCCUCGCUGGCGUGUCCCUGAACGGAGGCAUUGGCCGCCUCACAGAGACUGCUGGUCGCAGCCGCCACCAUCCGGGCCUGGGGACAGUCAACGGAGAAGUGACCCAAGGCCCAAACCUCCCUCAGGGGACCCCAAAAGCAAACUGGGAGGAAGGAGAAGGCAACUCACAGCAGAAAUCAGCCCCUGUGACCACUGUCCGUCGUCUGCAGCAUUGGCAGGGAUGGAGCCCACCUAGAGAGUAGAGUCGAGAAAUUGGCCAUGAGGGCAGGCAGCCCCAGUGGUCGCAGCCCCUCAUCCCCAGACCUUGCUCGGGAACCAGACUUGUACCCCGCUUGGUGCCUCCUGCCAACAGCACAGGCCUGAGAAUGGAGCAACCUUUCUCACGUGGGACUCAGGCCAUGCCAAGAAAGAUUGCACAGCACAUCCUGGCAGGUUUCGCCACCAAGAGGCGACAGGAAAUGCUAAGAAUGGCUCCACUUAGCUUCCAGGUACUGCAAUUCUGGGAAACGGCUCAGGAAUGAUGACCUGGGGCUGUCUUUCUACACUUACUCCUCUGCUGAGCUUUCUCCAUUUCAUAUGUGGGAGCCACUAGGCCUCCUCUUUUCAAGGGCUAAGAGAAAUUUAAAUCUCUCCCGAUUACUGACCCUGAAAACCACACUGCGUUUCUGGCAGAUGAUGUUAAAAAAGUGUGGUGGAACUCCCUCUGAAAUCAUGGCAACAAGUAGAACAUUUUCUGUCCACAUCCAGAGGGAGAAGCCACAGGAGGAAAUACCUUGAAGCUUGUGGGACGUGCCUGGUGAGGAUAUUCCGUUCAAUGACACAUCUGUCAUCUUUACAUGUUGACCAGCCAACAAGAACUUGCUGAGUACAGGACGGACAAGGUUGGCAUUCCGCUGGCUCUACAGGGGAUCAACGGGAAGGAUGGAGAGAACAGCUUGUGUGCCAGGUGGGGAGACGGACAUGGACCAAUACUGAAUAACCUACAACACAAUGGUUUAGAAAGAGAAUUCAAGGUAUGUGGACUGGACUUAAGCCAUGGCUAAGCUCACAAAAGACUUCCUGGAAGAAGAUGUACAGCCUAUGGUGAGGCACAACCUCCCUGUCUGUACUGCGAGUUCUUGGGUCAAGACACAACUCACCUCUACCUAUCUGUACACUGACAGCAAAGUCCUUUUAAUAUCAAACAGAAAUGAAUGACAAUGAUGGUGACCACAUUUCCCAAACCCACGAACGGUCAGGUUUCUGUGGCGCCUCUCCAUUUGAGAGGCUCUCUGAAAGCCAGUCGUGGAUAGCAUGCUUCCAUGUGUAUGUAAAUAACAAGACAUAUGGAACAUGUUAAAUCGGAAGACUGUUCCAUAUCCAGAAUUACUAAUGUACUAAUAAUCCUUUGAAUCCUCAAAAAAAACAAAAAACACUAUACUUUUAUGCCAAAGUAGAUGGAAUGGGUGACUAGAGAUAAAGCUGAAGAAAUUUCAGAUUUAAAAUCUGACUGGCCCAUUCACCAGCAGACUUAGGAAAGUGCUAACUGCGAAGCUGGCCAGUAUUCAGCUCGACAGUCCUAAAAACAAACGGAACCCUUUGGAGCUGGAAAGUGGUAUCAUAAAAGCCGCCGAAUGCGGUGCUUCUAGAGCGGCCCACCAGGAAAAUAUGACAGUUUACAUCUUUACGUAGCCUAAUGUACAGUGGGAAUAUAAAUAUCUCGUUCAGGCCCCAGUCACUGCCUGGAAUGGGAUGCUUUCCUUAACAAGAAGCAGAUGAGAGGCCCAGAAGCCAAACCUCUUAUUCUGUUGGUCUGAAGGCUGUAGUUUUCAGUCGGUCAGCACAGAGAGUGGCAAUUCAGGGAGGGAAGGCACUGCAUGUGUUUCCUUGGUCAGGACAAAAGCUUGUAGCUCUUUUCCUGGGCCCCCUGAGGCUCUCGUACGUUGAGUGUCCCGCAUGUGGUCAGCGGCUUUACCCACCUUUCCUUGGGCCACCAGCUCCCUCUGGGCUGCUGAGGCCGAUUUGACCAGGGCGCUUGUGGCAGCAGCAAUGGAUUUAGCAGCUUCCAAGAUCUGUUCCUCAAAGUCCAGGGUCUCAUCCGCUUGCUAUAACCAAAAGAAAACAGCAUCACAUUCAAUUCAUAUCCACAAAGGGCUCUUUCUUCCAAACUACUUACUGCCGGGUCACCUGGCUCUUCACCUGCCUAUUGUUUUUUGUUGACAAACCACACCUGAAAUGGGAUGGUUCCUUAACAAGAAGCAGAUGACAGGUCCCCUGUGCAAACUUUCAGGACUCUUAAGUCAGUUUGGUUAAGCCACCCUCGGGUCACAGUGUGGAAGAUGUGGCUGGUACCUUUCAGGCAUUAAGAGACAAUGGCCAGGCACAGCAAUAGUUUUCUUUGUAUGUGUGGUACAAUAUAUAUAACACAAAAUUUACCCUUUUACCUAAUGUUAAGUAUUAAUACACUGACACUGUUGUACAACAGCAAUACCAGGAUAGAAAGGUCAGGAUGCCUCUCCACCUGCAGCCCCUUCCCCCUAACUCCAAAAGGAAAAAGCCGUUAGCUUGACAUCCCACGGAAAUUUGCAGACAGACUCAUUUUCUGGAACAAAAUCUUUAAAGAUAUACACUCACUGUGAACAAAAUACACUCAAAUGGUUUUAGCAACAUCAAUAACUGAAACCAAAAUAAUAAAAUCAAAACAGUAGAUCAUAGCACUUACUCUCUUCUAGAGCCUAAGCCUCAAAAAUGGACUUUAAAAAAAAAAAAAGGAAAGAUGGCUACCAGUUCUGAAAAGUUGUCUUUUUCCUGGGUAAAAAUCAAAGCCAAACAGCACUGGCAUUUCUGUGGCUGAGCACUGAGAGAGUUAUAGACCAAGCACACAUUGCCCAGUGGUGAAAAAGAAACCAGGGCAACACGACAUCAAGGUGGAGCUUGUUCUGUCCUCUGGACACCCGAGGCACGGGAUCCACCUUGGGAAGAACACUGGACACCACUGUGUAGGUGUUAUCAGACCAUUAGGGUUCUGGUCUAAAUUCACCACCAUCUCCUUUGCUGCUAAAACAACUCAGGAAGUUGAAAAGAAGCUUUGGAGAAGUGGAACAAGUAUAAAGACUGUGGUCCCAGGCUCAUGGGUUGGAGCAUCACAGUUUUGCCGGGGGGUGGUCAGAUUAGACCUGUGUGACAACAUUCCGUGACUCUAGGUCAAUUUGGUUAAGCUGCCCUCAGGUCACACAGUGUUGAAGAUGUGGGUGGUACCUUUCAGGCAUUGAGAGAUGAUGGCCAGGCCCAGCAAUACUUUUCUCUGUAUGUGUGGUAAAAUAUAUGUAACACAAAACUUACCCUUUUAUCCAAUUUUAAGUGUACAAUUCAGUGGCAUUACGGACAUUCACACUUUGUGCCAACAGUAGUAGAUUUUUAAGAGUGCCUACUGUGUACCAAGUAUUUUGUUAGGCACUUCUACAUACAAUGACUUAAUUCUCACCAAAAAAAAAAAAAAAGAUCGUAUAUUGGAAUUAUCUUUAUCCUUAUUUUUACAGUGAGAAAACCCAGGCUCAGGAAGGUAGAUGAUUGGGCCAAGGUGAUGUGGCAGCAUGAAGCAUCUAAACCAGAAUCUAAACCUAAAUCUGACUCCAAAAUGAGGCACUUUAACUAGCCAAAGCCACCCCUUGGGGCAUCAGUGAGAAACGGUUUGUGCCAGAGGUUCAAAGUCAGCUUGCUAACGCUCCCAUGUGAAACGUCAGACAGGAGGGAUACAAGUCUUCUCCAGCUCUCCAUUCAUAAUGCCACAUCUUGAACCAUGAAAGGUGCUAAUCCUUUUUCUUUAUAACCUACAUUAUCAAAAUACAAUUUCAAUGCACUUCUAAUGGAUCUGAAUGAUGGUAGCAUUUCAGAAGUUCUGAGACAGACUUGUGCAUUCUUUCUUAUUGCUGACCAAGUCUUGCUCUAAGAGUAUUCAGGACAGACAUGAAUUUAGUUCUACUGGACUCAUUUUGGACUGGUGGAGUAUAGAAUUUGGUGACUGAAAUACGGAAAUGAUCCAUUGUAAGACACUCUCGUAUAAAAGGAACUCUUGUGUAGUCAGUCCCCAAAUAAAUUAUAGUAGGCUCUAAUUUAUAUAUAUUAAAUAUAUAAAUAAUGUAUAUUUUAAUAACCGUGAGAUUAAGAGCUUUUCUGGAAAUUCAUUCUGCCAAAGAAUGUCAGGCACAUAACAGAUUAAAGCACCAGGGAAAUCACAGAAUUUUUGACUCCAAACUCCUCAUCUCAUUUUGCAGAUGAGGAAACGGAGGCUUGUGGGAGCUCUUCAUGGCGGCUCCUGAAGUCUCUCACGCUCUUGCCUCAGGUGUCCUCAGCUACUCUAUGGGUUCCACGCCCGAGUCCACUUUACAGUGUGGAAUACUCUGUCAGACUUUUUAUUUCCCAAAUUUUAAGAUUUUCAAAAAUGGAAUUUCUUUAAAAUUAAGUGCUACGUCUUUAGCAGGGGUAGAUCUGAUAGGAUCAUCUCAUCACAACUGAUUUUACGAGCCUCUCCCACAUCUUCCGCUGCCUGGAGUUUUUUUUUUUUUUAAACACAAGCUUGUAAUAAUAGAUAUUCAACUUGGAAAUAUUUUUGACACCCACAGAUUUUUCUGGUAAUGGCAACUGUUGUAAUGUUCUUUGACGAAUUUUUAUUUUUCUUCCCACAACAUCUCUAUGCUUUAAAACAGAUACGGCAGAAGUUCUUAUCUCUGGGAGACAUUUGCUCUGAUAAGAAAGUAUUAAGAUUCUCCCUAGAAAGGCUGACUGGGAUGGCACAGGGAUGGAGGGCUAAUGUUAGAUACUACAGUUUGGGCAGAGUACCCUGAUGAAACCUGCCUUCUGACUGCUGUGUCCCUAUUUUCCUGUAUGCCAGGUUUAUGACUAAGACGCACUGCCCACCCUACCUCUACUGCUGAAAUCAGACACCAAUACUUAACGUGUCCUCAUACCAUACAACUUCUAGCCUUAGAGAAAAUGGCAUCUCUCCAAGCCAAGGAGACAUGGUCAAAAACCCAGGUGCCCCAUCAGUUCCAGCUCCCAUUAGCAUGCAGAAUGGAAUAGGGGAGAAGGUAGGAAGGACACACACUUAACCAUAUCACAAGAAGGAAACAGAAUUGGCUUGGUCUUCAAAGGACUUUCCUAAAUAAAAGAAUCCCAAUUAAAAUGCAGAAUUUGUUAAUGGAACAGUCCCCACUGCAGCUGAGAGACUGGGGAGACUAAGAAGAACAACAUGGUGCACAGUGACUCCGGGGAAGAAUCUGCAGGCUGGGCCCUCUCCUGGAGCUCUCAUUCUCACCUUCUCACCAGAGAGGCUCACCUGGUUGGUGUCUUAAGGCCCUCUUUAGCUGAGAUGUUACUGACCUGACCAGGGUCAGUCAGAUCUCUCCUUCUGGUUUAUAAAGGGGAUAACGGAAUCCUCGCUUCUGGGUGUUUCAUUCUUUCCACAAUUGGAUCAUGUAAAGACCCGCUAAAAUAAUCUUUUAAAGAUUAUGACUAAUCCUGUGCAUGUGGCUAUUUAUGUUUCUCUAUAACUACUGGCAUCAAGCUAAAGCAAGGAACUUUAGAAAACAAUUUCAUUAAACAGGAUAAAUUGAUAGUCUUUAGCCAUAAAAAAGAGUGAGAUCCUGCCAUUUGCAACCACAUGGCUAGAACUGGAGAUCCUUAUGUUAAGUGAAAUAAGCCAGGCACAGAAAGACAAACAUUGUAUGUUCCCACUUAUUUGUGGGAUCCAGAAAUCAAAACAAUUGAACUCAUGGACAUAGAGAGUAGAAGGAUGGCUCCCAGAGGCUGGGAAGGGUAGUGAGGGGCUGGGAGGUAGGGAUGGUUCAUGGGUACAAAAAAAUAGAAUAAGACCUACUACAUGUGACAGCACAACAGGGUGACUAUGGUCAAUAACUUAAUUGUACAUUUUAAAAUAAUUAGAACAGUGUAAUUGGAUUGUUUGUAACACAAAGGAUAAAUGCUUGAGAGGAUGGAUACCCCAUUCUCCAUGAUGUGCUUAUUUCACAUUGCAUGCCUGAUAUUGUUUGGCUGUGUCCCCACCCAAAUCUCAUCUUGAAUUGUAGCUCCCAUAAUCCCCACAUGUCAUGGGAGGGACCUGGUGGGAGGUAACUGAAUCAUGGGGGCAGGUCUUUCCUGUGCUGUUCUCGUGAUAGUGAGUAAGUUUCAUGAGAUCUGUUGGUUUUAUAAAGGGGAGUUCCCCUACACAAGCCCGCUUGCCUGCCGCCAUAUAAGAUGUAUCUUGCUUCCCCUUCGCUUUCCGCCAUGAUUGUGAGGCCUCCCCAGCCAUGUGGAACUGUGAGUCAAUUAAACCUUUUCUUUAUGUAUCACCCA